rnacentral:rRNA from 1 species
GUGCCAGCCGCCGCGGUAACACGUAGGCACCAAGCGUUGUCCGGAUUUAUUGGGCGUAAAGAGCUCGUAGGCGGUUGAGUAAGUCGGGUGUGAAAACUCUGGGCUUAACCCAGAGCCGCCACCCGAUACUGCUCUGACUUGAGUUCGGUAGGGGAGCAGGGAAUUCCUAGUGUAGCGGUGAAAUGCGCAGAUAUUAGGAGGAACACCGGUGGCGAAGGCGCUGCUCUGGGCCGAUACUGACGCUGAGGAGCGAAAGCGUGGGUAGCAAACAGGAUUAGAAACCCCUGUAGUCC